rnacentral:misc_RNA from 1 species
AUCUCCAUUCUUACACAUCUACCUUACCUUAGGCAAUUUCCUCCCAUCACUCUCCCACCGACACCUUUCUUUUUUUCUUUCUUCAUAAACCCACCAUCAGAUCUUUCUCUAAAUCUCCAUUUUUUCAACACCCAAAUCCUCAUUUUUACCCCCCUUUUCUACAACCCCAACAAUGAAAUCAAUGUCAAAACUUGCCCUUUUUGUCUAAAACUAUCCAAGAUUUGAUUUUUCAUCAUAAAGAUUUGAUUUUUAUUCCAUUUCAGCUUGUGGGUAUUGAGGGAAAAGAUGUUAGAUCGAUUUCUGAGUGCUCGUAGAGCAUGGCAAGUCAGGAGAAUUAUGAGAAAUGGGAAGCUUACGUUCUUGUGUUUGUUUCUUACCGUUAUUGUCCUUAGAGGGAAUUUGGGAGCUGGAAGAUUUGGUACUCCUGGCCAGGAUUUGAAGGAAAUUCGUGAAACAUUUAGCUAUUACAGGAAGCGCGUGGAGCCCAGACGCGUUCUUGAAGAAGCACAACAGGUAUCAUCUUCAAGCACUGUAAGUGAUGGUGGUGCAUCAUCAUCAGAUAGUAAUAAUUAUGCUACUUUUGAUUUAAAGAAGAUUUUAGUUGAUGAGGAUGAUGGUGAGCCUGAGUUUAAGAGAGAUCCAAAUCAACCUUAUGCUCUUGGUCCAAAGAUAAUAGAUUGGGAUGAGCAAAGAGGGGAGUGGUUGAAAAAAAAUCCUAAUUUUCCUAAUUUUGUUGGAACAAAUAAGCCAAGGGUGUUGUUGGUUACUGGUUCAUCUCCUAAGCCAUGUGAGAAUCCAGUUGGUGAUCAUUACUUGUUGAAGUCAAUAAAGAAUAAGAUUGAUUAUUGUAGGCUUCAUGGGAUUGAGAUUUUUUAUAAUAUGGCUUUGCUUGAUGCUGAAAUGGCUGGUUUUUGGGCUAAAUUGCCUUUGCUUAGGAAGCUUUUGCUAUCACAUCCUGAGGUUGAGUUUUUGUGGUGGAUGGAUAGUGAUGCUAUGUUUACUGAUAUGGCUUUUGAGCUUCCAUGGGAGAGGUAUAAAGAUGCUAAUCUUGUGAUGCAUGGAUGGAAUGAGAUGGUUUAUGAUCAGAAGAAUUGGAUUGGUUUGAAUACUGGUAGCUUCUUAUUGAGGAAUACUCAAUGGGCAUUGGAUUUACUUGAUGUGUUGGCACCUAUGGGACCAAAGGGAAAGGUAAGGGAGGAAGCCGGGGCGCUUCUUACUCGGGAGCUUAAAGAUAGACCAGUUUUUGAAGCUGAUGAUCAGUCU